rnacentral:lncRNA from 10 species
CCAGGGCAGCUACGCUUUGGAAGGGACCACAGGGAUUAUGAAUUUUUAACCCAAAUAAGCAUGCACUAAUGAUGAAAGUCCAGGCAACCAGGCCCCCGAUGCCUCUCAAAAUAACGCUCCUCCUCCUCCUUCUUUUUCUGAUGAUGGUGAUGUUGUCUACAGCCACACCACCCUGAACAUGCCCAAUCUUGUCUGAUUAUGGUGAUGUAGAUCAAAUAUCUGCAAGGCACACCACGGCCUCUAUUGAAAACGCGAAUGAAUGAAACCCUUAGACAGCUCUCACAUCAGUGACAUGUGCCUCCUCCUGCCUUGCACAAAUUGGAGACCCUGGCUGGGAUCUGGACAGCUCUGUCCCUCCGUGGCAUGGCUGGGGAGGGCUGGAGGGCAUACAGGAGCAGGUCACACUGGCCAGGCCAUAUUGUCUGGAGGAGAGGCAAUGCUGCGAGCCAAAGGAACUUGAAGAGGGUAACAAGAAACCUCAUGUCCAGAAGGAGCUGGGGAAGGAUGGGCUGCCGAGAACAAGAAAGAAAGAGACCUCUUCUUACACCUGAAGAUGCUUUGGGCUCUUGUUUUAGCUUCAAGCUGUGGCUCCCAUAGAAGGGGACGGCUUUGCAGCAGCUUCUCCAGGGGGGAUGCUGGAGGCAGUGGUUGCCCUGUGGUGGGCAUAAAAAAGGUCCAAGCAGGGCAGUGUCCGGCUGGUCAGCCCCGUCAUCAAGCCUUCCAGGUUCUUCUGUUACCCCUGAGGCAUCACUGGCUACUCCUGGGUACCCCGAAUCCUGAGGUCUCCCGUGGCAGCCUCUGGCAAGGCCUUCUGCAGUUCCACAUCAAAACGUACCCCAGGGAAUGGGAGUCCUGCUUGGAUAGGCCUAGGUCUGCCUCAAAAGGCAUGUGAGCCCGGCGGCCAGGUGAAUGCACUGCUGCAGCAUGGUCUCCUCGGCUGUAAGGUAGGAAUGGAAACUUCAUUCUCUUCGGGGUGUUGGAAGAUUCAUGAUAACCUACAACAAGAAUUGGCCAAUGGUGGCCUGUGGGCCGAAUGGAGCCGCUAUCUGGUUAUGGAAACAGAGUUUUAUUGGCAAGCAGUCACUUUCAUUCAUUUAUAUAUUUCUAUAACUGCUUCUGUGCUACAAUGGCAGAGCUGAGGAGUUAUGAUAGAGACCCUAUGGCCUGCAAAACCUGAAAGAUUUAUUCUCUGGUCCUUUGUAGAAAACUUUGCUGACCCCUAAUCCAGAUAGAAUGCACAGCCUAGGAGGUGUCCCAUAAAAAGCAGCUUCAAUAAUUGCUGUUAUAAUAAGCGGGAAUGAAGUCACUGCAGUGGUAAGGGACCAUUGGGUUUCUGGUCCCAACCCGCUAAAAACUAAAGAGGUCUUCUUUAUUCAGUGGUUUAUAUGGAUAAUUUCCAUAUAAGACUUUGAAGAAAUCCCAUCCAUCCACACACCUUUCACUUAUCACAGACAAACCAAGCCCUUACUAGGUCCCUAAGCUGAGUUAGGUGGCCACUGGGAAGACAUUGUUGAGAUGUGGUUUGUGCAGUUCUCCAGGAAUGAGAGGGUUAACGGAGUUCCACUCAGGCAUAGAGGGUGGGGAAUAUGGUGACAAAGGACCAAUGGUGGGUUAGGAAAUGGGGACCUCUCCAUUCUCCAGAAGCUUCCAGGCAUCUCUCCCUAUUCCAAAGGAUUUGUCCUGAAUUGACCAUCAUAAUGAGCCUUCUCUACUCCCUCCCAGUGAUGCCCAUCAGCUGCUGGUGAGGCUGCACAGCUCUUGGGGGUCCUGGUGGUCUGCAGAGUGGGCCUGGAGCUUUUGAGAGAAGGUGCUGCAGGAGGUGGUCCUCCCUUGUGGGUUUUAAACCCCAACAGGGUAGGCACUGUCUGCCUCUCUGAGCCCCAGAUCAAAGAGGAAUGACCAUUUCCUGAGCACCCAAAGGGGCCACACACUGCUCCAUGAGCACCCCUUCUCUUUCUCAGCUUCUUCUUUCUCAUCCUCAUGCCUUUUCCCUGGCCCCCAGACCCUUCCAAAUGGUUCUCCACUUUUCUCUUCUCCCCCAACUGCCCCAUGCCUGCCUCUCUGGGCUGGGAGAGUUUCCCCAGAGCAGGGUCAUCUGACAGGAUUUUUGCCAUGAUGAAAACGUCCUAGAGCAGCAUGGUCCACUGUGGAAGCCCCUCACACUGCGGGAGGCCCCUCAUGCUGCGGGGGUCCCUCACACCACGGAAGCCCCUCACACUGCCAGAGGCCCCUCACACCACAGGGGG